CACAGGACCUGGGAGCAAAGGUUGAGUCCAGUAUCACUGCUGUGCCUUCAAGCCUCUAGCAUGCUUUCGACUCCCAAUGCAGAGGGGAGGGCACAGAAGAGACUAAACCACACAGGGGAGCAUUGGGAUGGAGAAGCGAUACCCAUCAGUGUCAAUGAGCUGGAAGCAUCAAACCUCAAAGACAAGAGGACAUUUUGACGCAUCUGGUCUUGCUGUCAGUCUUUUGUAAGGUCCUUUCUUUUAGAACAUGUAGUGUCUUUCGAUAUGUCUAAAGGCUUGCUCAAACCCUCUCUGGACCUCCUUACCUCUCCUGCCUGAGAUGUGGCUACAAGUUCAGUUCUAGGUCUGGGCAGCUGGGAAUGAAUGAGCGGCCUCCCCCAACAGUAUGGCUUCAACACAUGGCCCUGGGAAGGAACCUCUGCCCUCCUCUUGACAUAAAAAAAAAUUGCAGAAUCCAAUUCUUUGUCCAGGGUUCCUAUGACAUCAAGUGAUUUCUUAUGAUGAGGACAUGCUCUCUAAUGAGGAUAAAAUAAACUUAAAUUAAAAGUGAAUCAGGCAGAAGUUGGGUGUGGUGGUGUACACCUUUAAUCCCAGCAUGCAGCACGCAGAUCUUCAUGAGCUGUCGGCCAGCCUGUCUUCCUAGUGAGUUCCAAGCCAGCCAGAUCAGCACAGCGACAGCUUGACAGCAAUGCUGACUAGGUCAGGGUGGGAGAGUGAAGCUGGAAGGCUUCCGGGGGAGAUGAUGAAAUUGUGGGAAGAUUUAUUCAUACAUACAUACAUAUAUAUAUAUGUAUAUAUUUGUAUAUAUGAGUGUGUGUCUGAAAACGUAUGUGCACGCACACACACACACACACACACACACACACACAUAUUCACACUGAGCACCAGGCAAUCCCAGACUGUCAGCAGAUAUUUCUUAAAUAGAAGAUGAUAGUUUUGUGAAGGUGAUUUAAAUUUCCAUCUGUCCAAAGACUCGGUACAAGAAUGACAAGUUGACUGGUUUCUUUGGCUGAACUGAACUUGUAGACUUAGCAGAGCUCCUAACUUGUAAGAUGUCCAGGGAACACCUAAGAAUUGGGGUCAUCACUCCAGGAUGAAUCUUCGAGCGUCUGCCAUUACAUGGUUGUCAGUCAAAUGUUGUCAGACAAAUGGAUGCGUCAUCUCCACAGUCAAUAUAUUUUGAUUUUAUAUUAGAGGAAUUUCAAUUAAGUGAAGUUUUGCUGAAUGUAUUUUGCAAAAUCUCUAGCCUAUUAGGUCCUUUUUAAAUUCCCACCCAGAAAUAAUGUAAGU